rnacentral:misc_RNA from 1 species
UAAAGGUGGAUGAGUGGUGUUUGGUUUGUUACGUGUGGUUGGCUGCGGCGUUUGCAACAACUUCCAUGCUUUCAGACCUCUUCAGUUGUGCGGCAAGGCUUGUAUCGCCUUGAGCGUAUUGUGGGUUUUCUGUGUUGGCUACCUAAUCAAUGGUAUCGGUUGGAUUGAUCAAUGUUUCAUUUCGUCUUCCGUCGCAUUCGCGGCGUGAGAUGAACCUUGAUGCGGUCUCUUUGAUCCACCUCGUCGAAGCGCAUGCUUUGGCGUUGUGGCACAUUGAGCAUUGCUUGGUCUCUUGUAUACGGAACAUAUAGUGGGCAUGGAUCUAACGAUUCUCGUUUGCCCUCAUAUUAGCGUAACGCUUCUCUUACACGACUUGCACCACGUUUUAGCUCGUACGGACGUGGU